CAGUGCAUAUGAUGAUUUUGUUAUCCCUGUCUGAAGAACAUGUGUGGAAAGCAAUGGUAUCUGACCUACUG